rnacentral:rRNA from 1 species
AGCGAACGCUGGCGGCAGGCCUAACACAUGCAAGUCGAACGGAUCCUUCGGGAUUAGUGGCGGACGGGUGAGUAACACGUGGGAACGUGCCCUUUGGUUCGGAACAACUCAGGGAAACUUGAGCUAAUACCGGAUGUGCCCUUCGGGGGAAAGAUUUAUCGCCAUUGGAGCGGCCCGCGUCUGACUAGCUAGUUGGGGAGGUAACGGCCCACCAAGGCGACGAUCAGUAGCUGGUCUGAGAGGAUGAUCAGCCACACUGGGACUGAGACACGGCCCAGACUCUUCCGGAAGGGGGGAAGGGGGAAUGUGGCAAAGGGGGGGAAGGCAUGAAGCUCUUCGGCGGUGAAAAUGAUGUGGUUAUGGGAGUAAAAAAUUUUUUGCACCGGGGAAAAUAUUGACGGUACCCAAAGAGAAAGCCCCGGCUAACUUCGUG